UGAAUCUAGAACUCAGGACUCCUGCCUCUCAAGUCAUGGCUCCCAACCCCUUCACUCCAGGACCUGAACUAAAAGAAGAGAAGAUUCCACAUGUAAGUGAUACCUUAUGUAUACCAUAGGUACUGACACCCGAAGGAUAAUAGGAGUUGAUUCAAAUGUGGAGCUGCCACCGAGGUGAAAAAGACCAGGAGAACUGUCCCGACAAAAGGAUCCCUCAUUGUAGGGGAAGCCAGCUGCCCUGUUGUGAGGAUACCCAGGCAGCCCAGUGGAGGGGUCCUUGUGGUAAGGGGUUGGGACCUCCCGCCAACAGCUGUGUGAGUGAGCCGUCUUGGAAGCCUUUAGUUAGGCCGUCAUGUGUCUACAGCUCUGCCUGAUGGCUGCAAUACCAUGAGACACCCUGAGCCAGAGCCCAGCUAAGCUGAUUCCA